rnacentral:rRNA from 1 species
AUACGUAGGGCGCAAGCGUUAAUCGGAAUUACUGGGCGUAAAGCGUGCGCAGGCGGUUUUGUAAGACAGUGGUGAAAUCCCCGGGCUCAAACUGGGAACUGCCCUUGUUACUGCAAGGCUGGAGUGGGGCAGAGGGGGAUGGAAUUCCGCGUGUAGCAGUGAAAUGCGUAGAUAUGCGGAGGAACACCGAUGGCGAAGGCAAUCCCCUGGGCCUGCACUGACGCUCAUGCACGAAAGCGUGGGGAGCAAACAGGAUUAGAUACCCUGGUAGUCCACGCCCUAAACGAUGUCAACUGGUUGUUGGGGAUUUAUUUUCUCAGUAACGAAGCUAACGCGUGAAGUGGACCGCCUGGGGAGUACGGCCGCAAGG